UGGGGAAUUUUGGACAAUGGGCGAAAGCCUGAUCCAGCAAUGCCGCGUGUGUGAAGAAGGCCUUCGGGUUGUAAAGCACUUUUGUCCGGAAAGAAAUCCUUGGCUCUAAUACAGUCGGGGGAUGACGGUACCGGAAGAAUAAGCACCGGCUAACUACGUGCCAGCAGCCGCGGUAAUACGUAGGGUGCAAGCGUUAAUCGGAAUUACUGGGCGUAAAGCGUGCGCAGGCGGUUUGCUAAGACCGAUGUGAAAUCCCCGGGCUCAACCUGGGAACUGCAUUGGUGACUGGCAGGCUAGAGUAUGGCAGAGGGGGGUAGAAUUCCACGUGUAGCAGUGAAAUGCGUAGAGAUGUGGAGGAAUACCGAUGGCGAAGGCAGCCCCCUGGGCCAAUACUGACGCUCAUGCACGAAAGCGUGGGGAGCAAACAGGAUUAGAUACCCUGGUAGUCCACGCCCUAAACGAUGUCAACUAGUUGUUGGGGGAUUCAUUUCCUUAGUAACGUAGCUAACGCGUGAAGUUGACCGCUGGGGAGUACGGUCGCAAGAUUAAAACUUAAAGGAAUUGACGGGGUCAUAGCUGUUUCCU
rnacentral:rRNA from 1 species